AAAUUGAAGAGUUUGAUCAUGGCUCAGAUUGAACGCUGGCGGCAGGCCUAACACAUGCAAGUCGAGCGGUAGCACAGAGAGCUUGCUCUCGGGUGACGAGCGGCGGACGGGUGAGUAAUGUCUGGGAAACUGCCUGAUGGAGGGGGAUAACUACUGGAAACGGUAGCUAAUACCGCAUAACGUCGCAAGACCAAAGUGGGGGACCUUCGGGCCUCAUGCCAUCAGAUGUGCCCAGAUGGGAUUAGCUAGUAGGUGGGGUAAUGGCUCACCUAGGCGACGAUCCCUAGCUGGUCUGAGAGGAUGACCAGCCACACUGGAACUGAGACACGGUCCAGACUCCUACGGGAGGCAGCAGUGGGGAAUAUUGCACAAUGGGCGCAAGCCUGAUGCAGCCAUGCCGCGUGUAUGAAGAAGGCCUUCGGGUUGUAAAGUACUUUCAGCGAGGAGGAAGGCAUUAAGGUUAAUAACCUUGGUGAUUGACGUUACUCGCAGAAGAAGCACCGGCUAACUCCGUGCCAGCAGCCGCGGUAAUACGGAGGGUGCAAGCGUUAAUCGGAAUUACUGGGCGUAAAGCGCACGCAGGCGGUCUGUCAAGUCGGAUGUGAAAUCCCCGGGCUCAACCUGGGAACUGCAUUCGAAACUGGCAGGCUAGAGUCUUGUAGAGGGGGGUAGAAUUCCAGGUGUAGCGGUGAAAUGCGUAGAGAUCUGGAGGAAUACCGGUGGCGAAGGCGGCCCCCUGGACAAAGACUGACGCUCAGGUGCGAAAGCGUGGGGAGCAAACAGGAUUAGAUACCCUGGUAGUCCACGCCGUAAACGAUGUCGACUUGGAGGUUGUGCCCUUGAGGCGUGGCUUCCGGAGCUAACGCGUUAAGUCGACCGCCUGGGGAGUACGGCCGCAAGGUUAAAACUCAAAUGAAUUGACGGGGGCCCGCACAAGCGGUGGAGCAUGUGGUUUAAUUCGAUGCAACGCGAAGAACCUUACCUACUCUUGACAUCCAGAGAACUUAGCAGAGAUGCUUUGGUGCCUUCGGGAACUCUGAGACAGGUGCUGCAUGGCUGUCGUCAGCUCGUGUUGUGAAAUGUUGGGUUAAGUCCCGCAACGAGCGCAACCCUUAUCCUUUGUUGCCAGCGGUUAGGCCGGGAACUCAAAGGAGACUGCCAGUGAUAAACUGGAGGAAGGUGGGGAUGACGUCAAGUCAUCAUGGCCCUUACGAGUAGGGCUACACACGUGCUACAAUGGCAUAUACAAAGAGAAGCGACCUCGCGAGAGCAAGCGGACCUCAUAAAGUAUGUCGUAGUCCGGAUUGGAGUCUGCAACUCGACUCCAUGAAGUCGGAAUCGCUAGUAAUCGUAGAUCAGAAUGCUACGGUGAAUACGUUCCCGGGCCUUGUACACACCGCCCGUCACACCAUGGGAGUGGGUUGCAAAAGAAGUAGGUAGCUUAACCUUCGGGAGGGCGCUUACCACUUUGUGAUUCAUGACUGGGGUGAAGUCGUAACAAGGUAACCGUAGGGGAACCUGCGGUUGGAUCACCUCCUUA
rnacentral:rRNA from 1 species